UUGGGUGAAUCCUUGUCUCUUUCUAUCGAUGUAAAACCUUACCAAAAACAUCGACUCUGUGACGUCAUGCACGUGCAGGCGGUGACCGGUGUAAACGGUGCAGGCUACAGAAUUCACUGCCGGCUACACGACUAAACUAAAGAGCAAAAUUAUAGAAAGACAAAAAUGGUUCAUUAUUGUGUAAUAAAAAAUUGUAAAUCUGUAUAGACUCAAACAACUGCUUUAACUUUUCAUCGAUUUCCACCCGCAACCAGUGCAAGCUUUCAGAUCUGGUUAGAUUAUAUUCCAAAAUAUUUAAUGAAAGAAUAUCAAAACUAUACAUCGAUCUGUAUAUGCAGUAAGCAUUUUGUAGAAUCUGAUUAUCGGUCCUCAAGUUCAAGCCAUCAACUUAAGAAGGAUGCAUUCCCUACAAUAUUUGAAGAAAAUCCUACAUCUACAAUUGAACAUUUUGUUUUGG